rnacentral:rRNA from 1 species
GGCGACCGGCGCACGGGUGAGUAACGCGUAUGCAACUUACCUAUCAGAGGGGGAUAGCCCGGCGAAAGUCGGAUUAAUACCCCAUAAAACAGGGGUCCCGCAUGGGAAUAUUUGUUAAAGAUUCAUCGCUGAUAGAUAGGCAUGCGUUCCAUUAGGCAGUUGGCGGGGUAACGGCCCACCAAACCGACGAUGGAUAGGGGUUCUGAGAGGAAGGUCCCCCACAUUGGAACUGAGACACGGUCCAA